rnacentral:rRNA from 1 species
CUGCUCAAUGAUUAAUAUAAUAAAUAGCUGCAGUAUUUUGACUGUACAAAGGUAGCAUAAUCAUUUGUCUUUUUAAUGAAGUCUAGAAUGAAUGAUUUAAUGAAAUUUAAACUUUAUUAAAUUAAUUUUUUGAAUUUAAUUUUAAGUAAAAAAUCUUAAUUAUUUUUAAAAGACGAGAAGACCCUAUAAAAUUUUAUAAAAUUAAUUUAUUUAUUAAAAUAAAUUUUAUUAAUAAUUUAUAUUUAUUUUAUUGGGGUUAUAAUAAAAUUUAAAUAAUUUUUAUAUUUAAUUAUCAUUAAUUUAUGAAAUUUAAAAUCCAAUAUUUAUUGAAUUUAAAUUAAAUUACUUUAGGGAUAACAGCGUAAUUAUAGUGGAAAGAUCAUAUUGAUAAUAAAGUUUGCGACCUCGAUGCUGAAUUAAGAUAAAUUUAAAAUGAAGAAAUUUUAUAAU